rnacentral:misc_RNA from 1 species
AUGGACUUUGUCGAUCCUUCUACUCCUCUAACACCAUGGUUCUCUGAGCAAGAUCUUGCAGUUUAUUCAUCUUUAAUUGUAUGUGAACUCAGAAUUCCGUUUUCCAUUACAAGUACCAUAAAGGCACAUGCAACUAAUGAGAACCCUCCAAACAAGAACCUUUAACCAAAUCACCUCUAGCUUUACCAAUAUCUCCCAACAAAUAUGAAAUUCUUGCAAUUGGUUUACUGUUACUUCUACAUUUGUUUUUAGGAGUAGACUGUGGAGAAACGUCAAGCAUUGACUGCAUCCUAAAGAUGCCUG